UCCUUAGAUGUUAUUUUUGGAUAUACACUAUAAAAAGAAAGUCAUUCCCUCAUUUUCUCACAGACUCAUCAGAUUUCAAAAAUACACUCUAAAAAUUCAGCUGUUGUUUCUAUAGAAGCGGACUCUCUUUUCCUCUAAUUUUAGCAAAAAACUUAAAGAACUUCUUUGGGAUUUUCUGGUUUUCAUAAGUCAAAAAAUGGAUUGAAUCCGAAGCUUUCUUUUCUGGGAUUUACUGCUGCUGCUCAUGCUGUGUUGUUUAAGUUUGGGUUGAGCUCCAAAUUUCAUUAUUUUGAUCUGUACUUGGUCUUCUUUCUACUGUUCUUCUUGUUUCUGGCCAUUAGGUAUGUAGAAACUCACCUGUAGCUUCAUGUUGCAUUUAUGAAUGAAAUUUGGGACUAUCUAGUAGUGUUUUGUGUUUGAUUUCCUUACUAUGUUCCACUGAAUUUGUUCCAUAAAAAUUUUUGUUCUUUUUAUCAGCAUUCUCUUAUGCUUCUUAUGUAAACUAGUGGCCCUUGACUUAGUUAAGUUCAUAUGUGUUUCUCCUAUUUAUUUAGUUUUGUUUUUUAAAAUAAAAAUAAAGAACAAUCAGAAUACUUUUGCGCUACUGUCUGGUCAUCUGAAUUAGUGUGGUUAUCUUGAGAGUUGUCAAACUAUCUCAUGUUUAGCAUGAUUAUGUUGUGAUUUGGGUCUGUUUUGUCAAAGUUGAUAUUUCAUGUGUAAACUAACGGAUUGUAAGCUGGAAAGUGAUCAAGAUUGUUUAAUUCUAAAUAUGAAUGUAGAUAGCUAUUAACAACAGUUGGAGCAUGUGGUGUCAACUGUUAAAUUUUGUAUAGUUUCAGCCCUGUUUGAACCUUGCAGAAUCAAUAUUAAUUCAAAAAGGGUUUCCUUAUAAAGUGGUUUUGCUGAAGUAUAUGGAUUUUUGUUGAGUUUGAGAAGGCUUAAUGCUGGUUACAUGGCUAUGUCUUGCUGAUCUGACCACCAGUCGGAUCAGAUUGGUGAAGCUAAGUCUAAAAGGUGGAUUUGGAGUCAUCCAUGGAAGGGGUGUAACACAAGAUUGGUUAUGUUUUUUUUAGUUUAAUUAGCCUUAUGAACAAUCUAUGUAAAUAUUUAAGGAUUCAUGUCUAUUAUCCUUCUUGAUGAUUGUAUUGUGAUUCACCAGAUUUGCAAGUAUUAGAAAUGUAAUUAAUUUGUCUUAUCUUAGAUCAGAUAAAUAGUUCAGCUAUUCAUCUUCUCUAUUUUUAGCAUUUGUUUUAUCUGAAAACUUGAAUGGAUCAAUGCAGAUUUUUGUUUAGUAUUGCAUUGUUCCAAUUAUGACUUAAUGCAUUGGGCUUCACUGCGAGCCCAC
rnacentral:lncRNA from 1 species